UGUUUUAAUAAUUUAAUAAAAAAUACUGGUCUUGUAAAUCAAAAAUGAAAAGAAUUUUUCUUAAAAC
rnacentral:tRNA from 1 species